rnacentral:rRNA from 1 species
CCGGAGGGUGCAAGCGUUGUCCGGAUUUAUUGGGUUUAAAGGGUGCGUAGGCGGCCCGGUAAGUCAGUGGUGAAAGCCUCCAGCUCAACUGGAGAACUGCCAUUGAUACUGCCGGGCUUGAGUACAGACGAGGUUGGCGGAAUUGAUUGUGUAGCGGUGAAAUGCAUAGAUACAAUCAAGAACUCCGAUUGCGUAGGCAGCUAACUAGGCUGUAACUGACGCUGAGGCACGAAAGCGUGGGGAGCGAACAGGAUUAGAUACCCUGGUAGUCCACGCUGUAAACGAUGAUUACUCGAUGUUGGCGAUAAACUGUCAGCGUCUUAGCGAAAGCGUUAAGUAAUCCACCUGGGGAGUACGCCCGCAAGGGUG